rnacentral:rRNA from 1 species
UACAGAGGGUGCAAGCGUUAAUCGGAGUUACUGGGCGUAAAGCGUGCGUAGACGGUUAUGUAAGUCAGAUGUGAAAGCCCAGGGCUCAACCUUGGAAUUGCAUUUGAGACUGCAUAGCUAGGGUGCGGAAGAGGGAAGCGGAAUUUCCGGUGUAGCGGUGAAAUGCGUAGAUAUCGGAAGGAACACCAGUGGCGAAAGCGGCUUCCUGGUCCAGCACCGACGUUCAGGCACGAAAGCGUGGGGAGCAAACAGG